CUUGUAUUUGCCCUAGACAUCUUCAUUUUCAGUCAUAUGGAGAGCCUGUGCCUUACUCUGUAUUCUUGACCCAAGAGCAGAAAUGGCACGUUUGCAUCUGUGAUGUUUGUUCUGUCUCAUUCUGGAUAUAACAGCGGGAAGCUGGGCUGAGGCUGCAGCCAGGGAUGUGCUGUGGGCUGCUGCUGUUCUGCGAGACAGGGAAACAGCUGAGGAGAAGUCUUCUGUUCCUGGCACAGCAGAUAGGAGCAGCUGCUGACAGCCCGCAGCUUCGCUGGGAGAGGAGUCCCCUUGCCGCUGUAGCUCAUGGAGAGGCACCACAGGGUCCCCCUUCUGCUCUCCGUGGCCUUUGCUGUGCUGCUCUCAUGCUUUUCUGAACCUGACCGCAGCCUGUAAACUAAAACUGCUGCUGGUGCUGUGCCUGGGCUUCACUCCAUGCAGAGCAUACCCCAGGGGGUCCUGAUUUCUGGCUGAAGUUCCCAGGAACCAAAGUACAAGCCUUUACUCUGGGAACCAUUGCCAAGGAGAUGAUUAUUCAUUAACUAUGGUCCAUCUGGUAGACAAAAUUCCUUGGUGCAAUGUUUCAAGAGAUGGGAAUGUCUCCGUUCCAGACAGCGCCAUGACCACUUCAAAGGUAUGCAGGGGGUGAGCAGGACUUACUGCCCUGAGUUACUGCAGUACACCAUGGGAGAGCACCAGGACUCACCAGCAGUGUAGGCAGGAUGUGGUGGUGAGGUCAGGUAAGAAAAGGGCCAGAUACCAUUUGUGAAGGCAAAUGCUUUUGGUUUACUGCAAUCUACAUUCAGUUCAGUUAGGUAACUUAGUUGGAGGUGAUUGAAAAGAAGUAAUAGCCUAACUAAAGAACAAAACCUCAUAUAUUAUAGCUAGGAUGGCCCCUUAGUUAUCAGGGGUGGGGAUGAAUUGAGCUUUGUCCCUGAGUUGUGUUUCCGUGUGCACUGACUGGUUGCUGCAGCAGUUCCCUGGCAGCUCCGAGUGUCCCUGCAGCCAAAACAGGGAAUCCUGUCUUGGUCUUCUAAUGUUCGUUAAAACGUUGCUACAGCUCCCUGGGCACUGGCAAAGUAAGUUCCUGCUGAUGCCCCCUGUUUCAAUGGGAGCUGCUGGGAAUGAACCUUGCCUUCCAGUCUGUCUUCAUAAGUCUAAUUGACAGUUAGAAACAAUCUGGUUGUGGAUUAAUUUUUUAAGAUGGGUGGUUGUUCAGGCUAUAAACACAUUCCCUUGUGCUCCCUUGCAAAAGUAGGGAGUGCUGCUGCUCUUGCUGCUGCAGCUGAGGAGCAGCACCCAGCAGUCAGGUCUCUGGAGGGUGCAGGGUUGUGUGGCUGGAGGAGGUAAAAGAAAUUAAAAGUAAAGAAAGGCCCAAACCACUCUUGUCUAUGAAAAGCUGUCUUGGGAUCUCUAACACCACUCAGAGCUAUAUGGGAUGUUGGCUGCAUGGACUUCCAGCUUUGUAGCACAAAAUUGAAGUAGAGGCCUUGAAGGCAUUUCAUGAGCUACUAACUCAAAAGGAAGUAUAUAACUUUUUAAUCAUCAAGGUUUUUCUCUUACAUGUUUCUCAUCCCCUAGGUACAAUAUAUUUAAUAUAAAACUAGACAGGAACAUGGAGUAUUGCCCAAAGGUGGUGGUUAGUGAUGACCACGGUCCUGUGCUCUGGCAGGUGCCUUUUUGUCCCUAGGGAUUUGGAGGUUAGGCUGGUACACAUGUAUACAAUAGGCUCUUACAAACUGUCCUGCUGUGGUAUUGGAACAUGAAGUAUCGCUAGCUGUGCGUUAAAUUUUUAAUGUACUUUCUACACAAUUACAGUCUAUGAAGUAUUUUGUUAUCUCCCAUUUGGAUUGCUGUAAUCAUUCAAUGAACAUACUGAGGAAAUUCUAUUUAUAAUGGUCUUAAAAAUUUAGGGAGACCACUUUCUAGUGGAGCCUAACAUAACAUUACAUAUGAGAGACAUGAAUCCCAUCAUUAUGUCACUGUUACCAAUCAGUAACAAAAUCAAUGGGACUAUUUUUUUAUUAAAAAAAGAAAAAAGUCUAUUUUGCAUCUGUGUCUCAGGAAUAUCAAAUAACAUUUCAUAAACAGACAGUAGUUUUAUUUAUGUGUUUAUCUUGUGUUUAUCACAGCUGUUUUGUGACCUUUAUUUGAAUUGACGCAUCAGUGGAAAGAGCAAUCAACCACGCCGAAAGGGCUGAUAGUUCUCUUUACCUGCCUACCUUAGAGAGGACACAUUUAUCAGGUGCUUAACGAGGAGCUUAGGAAAUGUGAUUUUUUUUUCACUCAGUUUUUUAUAAGUGAAAAGGGGAGUGUUUCUCCCAAGUUUAACAAAUCAGAAUCAAAACUUCAGCUCUGAUUGCUGGGAGAAAGGAAGGAAACCCCAUUUUGUCAUCUCUGAAGGUGUUCACUGUGCGAAGAGCGCUGUAAUCCAGGGACAACUUGUGAAUGUGGGAGAGAAAGCAACCACCCAACCAUGAAUAUUUAGUUGGCUGGCAUGAAAUUUCUUUGAGGACUGGAAGAUGUUAAGAAAAAAAUAUCUGCUGAAUAAAAAGAAAGCGAUUAAAAACAAAGCCCUUCAGUUGUAUGGAAUGCAGUGAAACUGCAUUGCCCUCUCUUUUUGAGGGGCAGGGAGGUUUAGGAGGCAUCGCUUCUGCAGCAUCCGAACUGUUUUGCAUGCUUCGAUUUGUGUCUUCUGGAAGAAGAUGGGGGGGGGGGGGGGGGGGUGAAGAAGUCUGCAAAAUAUUGUGGGUUAUGCUGUCCUGAGAACUGCUUUAAUAACAAUAGCGUGACACAGACCUUCACCACCACUCCUGCUUCCCUCCUCUGCAGCUAGUGAAUACAUCCCUUGUCUUGUGGACUCGGCAUGACCUGUGCUCCUGAGAAGCUGGGAGGCUGAAUUUCAGACAAGUGCCGUUGGUCUGCUGCAGUCUUCUUUUUUGGGUAAUGCCUAAAAAAGGACCUUGCUGACAUGUUAAUUUGAUGAAAACUCUUAGACGAGUUUCCCAGGCAACAAGGAAAUGGUUGUGCUGAUUUCCAGUCACUGAAGACAAACCAGAUAUUUAAUGGAUGACUAAAACGGAACAAAUAUUUUAAAUUCGUAAAUACCACUGAGAAGAAAAUAAUUAUGUAAAGUAAAAAGGCAAAUUAGCAUAAAAUUAAAGAAAGAGGAAAUUUACAUUUCGUAUCAGAAACAUAUUCACAGACUGACAUAUUGGGCUGUGACUAAAACUGAUCAAAAGUCAGCACUUCCACUGCAGGGGAGGCUGCACAGCUCGAAAUUCUUUUUAGCGCAAUUAACAGUUGUUUUUUUUUCUAUUUCUGCAUAGGCAGGAAAAUACCAGAGACACCCAAAACAUUCCAUUUUGAAAACUGUGAAGGAAGACAGUACUUGUUGGGACCAGGAUUGAGCUCUCAUUGAAAUACAGUCCUGAUGUUUCACAGUCGAGGGUUCCUGCUUGCCCUGACCUGUCUGUGAGAAUUAGGGCUCAGAAGUGAUAGGGGACUGAAGCUGGCAGUGCAGGAGGCUGCAGCAGCCACAGCUCAGGAUCAGUCCAUAACACAAGGCUGCUCCAGAGCCCAGGGAGCUGGGAAGUCACAGAUGCAAAUGUGUCUGCGUACCAAAACUGUCUUGGGGAGCGAGAAAAGCCUGAGGUCCCUCCCACCCAGCUUCAUAGGUGAACUGGUGGCAGAAUGGAGUUUUGGCUGCAGUUUAUCCAGACAGAUACAUUUUUUACAGAGUGGAUUAGUUUUGACAGAGAAGUCACUUUUGGACUAAAAAAGAAAAACAAGAUAAAGAAUUUGUUGGAGAUCUCUGUCAGGUCCUUGCCCAUGGUCCUGCUGAAGACAACAGGGGAGGCUGAGAGUUCAGAUCAGCAGCACAGGGAGUGUGCUGACUGAGGGAGACAUCUGUGGACUCAUACCAAGAUACUGCAGCAAACCUCCAAAGGCAGAAGCGUACGCCUUUCACUGAGCCCUGCUCUGAGGGGGACUUCAGGAAGCUGUCUUGGCUAUUUGAGUUGCCCACGUGGCUGAGCAUCAAGUGCCGUUUUCCUGCAGGAGGAAGAUGGGUUUGGCUUUUCCUCACCAGACUUUGUCACACCUGGGUGUGCAGCUCUCUUUGAGGCUUGGUGCUGGUUUUGACUGACUGCUAAGCUUUGUUGAAACAGCAUCUUUAAAAAUAUAGCUAUCUCAGAUUUCAAGUAGAUGACAUGCUGGAUUAGUUGUUACGUGCCAACAUUUGAUAGCUGCUAGUAUGGGAACUUGGAAGAGAAUCUAGAGAUAUACCCUCAGCCCCAUUGUAGUGUUGGAUUAAAUGGACUCUUGAUAAUUUUUUCAGAGUGAAUAAAAGUGGGAGGAAAACUGGCUUGCCAAGAGGAAUAGUUGGCAAUUAAUGAAAAAUAGCUUUGCUCUUUGUAGACUUCACAGAUGCGGGGAUGGGACAAACAUUUUUUUGGUCCUGAUUCAGCAGGUUCACAAGGGUCACGCAAUUCACAGUGCACAGCAUCGGCCUGACCUGCAGAGCACCAUCCACUUGAGAGCCACGGAGCUGCAGGAAAGCCUUUGAUCUCUGCGUGCUCCUGCCAGUUGGCCACUGCUGUGUCAGAAAUGCCUCUGUUGUUAGUGGGGAAUGGGAAUGUGAGGAAGAAUUUCAGAGCAUGCUGAAUGCAAAGCCUCAGCUGUCUCCUGCCUCCAGAAGCUGAUGUGGCUCCAGAACCAGCUGUAUGGUAAAUCUUUUUCUGUAGCCACCUCGUUCCCCCAGACAUCACCCUCCUCCUAGAUCCCCUUUCCAAUAUACCACAUGAAAAAAUAAGCAGAAACAAGCCCAAAGACCUCAGUCAAGUUGUGCUAAACCUUUUGCAGCCACAAAACAUUUCCUCUGGCUGCCUGAACCCCAAGGGGACACCUGCAAUUUAUAUGGCUGGGCUGGUGGCUUCACCACCAGCAGUGACAGCGGUGAGUGUGUCCUCCCAGCACUGCUGAGGAUGGAGGCUGGCUUGCAAGGAUGGCCCUCAAGCAAUAAACCUGCGACAAGAAAAACACAAGAAGGUGCCUGAGAUUUGCCAGGAAGUGUAGGGCCAAGCACCACGUGUGCCCAAAGCACGUCUGAGAGCGGCUUGCUCGCAGUAUUUCUGUCAGGGGCCGUGCAGGAAGCCAGGAGCACUGCUGGCAGCUGGAGCACUGUCCCCACAGCGUGCUGGGGAAGGUCUGGUCCCGAGAGAGCAGUGAGGAAAGUGAAGCGCAAAGCGCAGCUCGAGAGGCUGCAGGUCUAAUGAGGUCCUAGCACCCCAUGCAGGGUGGAAGCCUGAAGGCAAGCAAAGGAGUUCAAAGGGACCGGCUGUGCUGCAGAGAGCUGGUCGCUUCGAAAUUGGAGCUAGAUCUGCUGGCCCUGGUCUUCUAUGAAGCUAAAGCAUGUCAGGCUUCUGAAGCAUCUUCUGCUGUUCUCCUGGCUUAAAGCUGCCCUGGCAUUUUCUCUGCAUUCAUUACCGCCGUGCCAGGAGCACAAACAACAUUUUGAGCAAGCCUUGUUUCCCCUCUGCUCUCUGCUGGUAUACAAUUGCUGUACCUACUGCCUGAUGCUAUCCCCCAUGCUUUAAGGUUGCCUGCUCAGAUGGAGCAUGGAAGUGGCAGGAAGGAUGAUGGGCACAGGCAGCGGCUGCUCUGAGCUCGGCGAGGCUCCCGAGCAGUCCCUGGAUGUCUGCGUGUGUGGCAGAGGCGGUGGCACCCCGUGCCGAGCAGCUCCAUCACUUGGUGCUUCAGCUCAGUCCAAGCUGUGGGAAUAGCCAACUGGAGGCUGCAGCUGCCCUUCUAGUGCUUUCCAAACCUCUGUCCUGCUACUCCUGAGCUCCACAGGGUGACUUGGCUGUCGGGGUGACACUUGCGACAUAAACUGACUUACUGCAGGUAGCUACCCCAGCAUUUCUGUGUAUGAGCAGUGUAAUGUUCGUGGCUUUCUCCAGGAAUGACCCUUAUGGAUGGUUUGUGGGUAGAGAGACCCCAUUUGAAACUACAGCUCAAGAUGUACGCGGAAGGCUACAAGGAUGGCAAGGGCCAUAUCCAGUUAGAGGAUACGAUGAUGACGAACAGCUCAAUGCCCAGGAUGGAGGAGACCUGCAGUGCGUGUCCUGCUGCGCCCCUGCAAAGGGUGGGUGUUAAUACUUUCACGUUGCUACCACCGCUGGGAGUUGGGAUGAAGAAAAACCUCAGCACGGCGCCGGGCACUGCCAGCAGCCCGCAGGUGUGAGGGACUGCGGGCACCACGCAGUGCAGGACCCUGGCUGGCAGGGAUCUCGUGGUCCCACACCAGCCUGUGGUCCCGCACCAGUCAGUCAGUCGUCACCCCUGGUGGGAGAAUGCAGGGAAGAGAAACGUGAAUAGCACGGGAAGUACUAAUGCACUUACACAGAAGAAAGAAAAAAGAAAAGAGAAGCAAAACCCCAGUUUUUAUGAGCUUGAUGUUACUUCUACUGAAAAGCUGUAUCUCCAGGAAAAAUUGUGGUUCCUUUGCUAAAGGUUUGGGCUGCUUAUUGCUGCACUGUUGCUGGUCUAGCUGCUGCUGUCACCAGCAGUUAUUGCUUUGCAGGUCUGACAGAUCAGCAUAUCUUUCUCCAUCAGUGAUGUCAUUUAAUUGGGCACAUUGCAUCUUAUAAAUACCGCUGGCUGAGGGCUAUGAGUUUCAGGCUUCUCUCCAGGAAAAACGGUGUCCAAAUUCCUCUCCUCCCUUUUGAAGGUGCCACUUUGAAUCAAUGAAGAUACCAACUUGAUUGUGAGGGAUGGACCAACCUUCCUGCCUCUUACCCCAUAUCAGACUCCUCACCUGACCACAACAGGCUGUUCUGGCUGAGAUGUGAGGACAGAGCUUGUGGUUAUGCUGAGUUUGGUUAUUAUAGCAUGUGCUUCUGGGUGACAGUGGUUACUAUUUGGAGCAAAGUGACUGAAUGGUGAAUUUGGUCCAUUCCAAAAGGAGACAGGGGAAGAAGCUCUGUGUGGUGGUGGCUGCGUGGGCUGAGGGAAAGGGUUCUUGGUGAAUGAGAUAGUCACAGGCUUGUGUAAUGGAUGUCAUCUUCCCUAGUGAUACUGCUGAUUGGUCUGGGAAUUAGCAUUAAUCUAGUGUCAGAUAGUUUUCUUGUGAUACCCUGCAGAUACCAUGAUGGACAUGUAAUGCACCAGGCACGUAUCGCAUGCCUGGGUCAUACACACAAGUAUGUGACACUACAUAAUUCUUGGCUGAGUGACCGUCAGAUGUACUUGCUUAUCUGCUUUUCUUUUCAUAUAUAUUUCUUGCCUUUUUCUGAUCCUCUUAUUAUUCUGACCUCCCUUUUAGGGAAGAAAAAGAAAAAAUACACACUUUUUGUGUUUACCUGCCUUCUCUGAUUUUCCUCUGCUUGGAUAGGAUGGAUUUCAAUAACUAAUCAGGAUAAUGCUCUGCUUUGCACGUCUGGGUUAGUGCAAAUAUUCUUUACCCUGCUGCAGCAAAGCAUUGAGCUGCAGCACUGAGUCAAUAUGUUGAAACUGCCCAUGCAGUUUCAUGUAAGGCACUUAAAAAUGCCCAAGAAUUGCCUUGGAAAAUGUGCCAUUGCCAGAACUUCACUUUCCUUAUCACUGUCACAGUAAUUCUCAUUAGCUUGACUUCCUUUUAAACUGUCUUCCUGAAAGCCAAAAAGCUGUGUAUGUUCAUCACUUUUACUUUAAUUAAUAUUGUCCCCUGAGGUGGAAGGCUUAAAUAAUCAGCAGGUGCCUUCCCAUCAGAAACGUACACUAUACCAGUCCAAGCAGUGUGUCCCCAGUUGAUGCACAGAAGCAAAAGAUGAUGCUUGAGGGUUCUAACCAAGGAUAGGUUUUCACAAAACACAGUUUUAAACUUGUAGCUCAAAAUUUUCAGUCUUUUUUUCUGUACCUUGAAGUAUGAAUGUAGACCUUUGAACUGUGAAAUAACAAGAACUGAGCCCAGAAAAGAGCUAGUGAGUGGUGAUGUACUAGAGCUAGACUAGUUAAUGCCAGCUAAGGAUUUAGCUUUCAGCUUCUAUGUAUUAUCUGCUUACACAAGUGGUUGUUGUUAUAUAGCUGGUUUGGGUUAUUUUUGUUUGUUUGUUUGUUAACGUUUGUUACAGGAUGAGACUGCAUGGCAACAUCUUCAACUGGAAGCCUGUCAGAGCCUGCUGACAAAGGUUUGGUUGUGGUCCAUGUUACACCUAUAAAAUCACUGAAACAUAACCUAACAUUUGUGACUGGGGAGAGUGCCCUGAGUAUAACGUAAGGGCUGAUUACGUGACACUCCUCCUCUAGCUGAAGCAUGGCACUGUCAUGUGCUGACAUCAGCUGCCAGACUGUUACAAGCCACUAAUGACAAUUUCCCUCAUACCUGACUGUAAAUGCAUCAAUAGAUCCAAACUGUAGCUCAUAUCUUGCUCACCAGAUGAAAGGAAGUCAUUCUCCUCCAGAUUGAUGGAGUUAAAAUGGGAAUGCCAUUCCUGAUUCACCAUGACUAAAGCAAAGGCUUAUUUUAUGAUUCAACGUCGAGGAGAAUAUCUGUAUUUUCCUGUUUCUUUGCAGUAACCAAAAAGGUUCGGUUUGGGAGAUCACACUAGCCAUCCUCAUGAGGUGCACCAUAUGCUUUAGUCCUUUUUAAUUACUGUAGCCUUUACGAUCUCAGAUAAAUGUCAUACUUAGUGCUUUGCUUUACAAUUAAGUCUUUCCUGCGGGGAGAUCUAAAAAAUCUCUUUCUCUUGUCAUACGUGAAGUGUAAAGGAGAAUUGCAAAUUUACAUUAUUAUGGGCAAACAACAGCUCUGUUUAGAAAACAAACUUUAAACUACUAUUAUAGCAAGAUGCUUUUCAGUAAUGCUUUGUUGAUGCCACAUAUCAACAAACGCAGGAGAUAAGACGUUCUUUUUACAGCAGUGCCUCACAAAGACAAAGCACUGGUUUAUUUCUUGAAGGUAGAGGUCUACUUAAAUAAAAAAAGACAACAUAAACUCAGGUCUCCAUGCUUUUUUAAGAUAUCUGUAUUAAGGUCUAAGCAUUAAUUUACAUCUCAGGCAGACUUUCGGUAAUCAGUGAAGAACUUGAAUCUAUUCACAGUUUUCUCCCACUUCUCAAACCCACACACACUUUGCACAGAGUGCUUUGCACACAGAUCUCUUGCAUUAAAAAAAAAAAAAAAAAGUAAAUAACAGCUUGCAAGCUUAAAUUUAGCCCUGCCAAGCUGCAUGUGGAGACAGUUGAAGUUCUGCUGGAAAACUUCUAAUUGCGAGGCAGCACCUCAGUGCAGGGACAAAAGCGUGACCUCCUGCACCACAGAGCCUGGCAUUGAAGGGUCUCCAAGUGGUUCCCAGGCCCUGGUGAAACAUCGCAGCUCCCUGUGAGAAGCAGAAGGGAUUGUCGCCUCGGGGUGAAAUUCAACAGCAGUGUGCUGAGAGGCAAGCUGCAGGCGCCUGUGGCUGGAGGGUCAUGGCUGCCUUGCAGCAGGCCAUGCUCCCCCUGCUCUGGUUAUUUUACUGAGCUGGAGCUGUAAGUGCAGCUCAUUUCUCUUGGGAGACGUCAUCUUCCCAGUUGUCUUCCCAGUCUGAAACUUCCCCCCCGAGCUGGAGGCUGGCAGCUUCUGGCAGAUGCUCCUCUCCUCGGGCAGCCCUAUGAUGCCUUCCCUUCGUUCAUUUUCUUUUCAUUAAUUAGUUCCAUGUUCUCCUACUCCAACCUGAGAUACUUCGCAGUGGGCACCUCGCUCCCAUCACCCCACAGAAACCUGAGUGAAUCUCAGGUUCCCAUCUUUGCCUGGGACAGCCACCCAGGGUCACGUCUCCGCAUCCACAGUGUUGAAACUGGGGGAGAACCAGAUCCUUCUCCUUGCUCUGGUGGCAGAAGCUGACACAGGCUGGGCUCUGAGGUGGACUCCAGGUUUUUCUCUCUCCUCUCCAAUUGACAGAUCUCAUCUUAAACGUACAUAUACACACAUAUGAGUGUAUAUAUAUACAUAUAUUCCCUCUGUGUUCCUUUUUUUUCCCAUUCCUGUGAAGGUGCAUGGCUUACUCUGGAGACCACCGGAGCAGGUUCUGCGGACAGCUGGGGAUCUGCCCGCUGCUGCCUGAAAACUUCUUCAGAGCAGCACUUCCCAGAAACCAUAUUAUGCUGAGGAGACAGACUCGUCUGCUGCAGGUCAGAACAUCCAGAACAUCACUGUAGAGUUUUUUUUUUUUUUUUUUUUUUUUUUUUUUUACCAAUGGCUGUAAA